rnacentral:rRNA from 1 species
UUAUUUUAGCGGCGGACGGGUGAGUAACGUGUGGGCAACCUGCCUUUUACCGGGGAAUAAUCACUGGAAACGGUGACUAAUACCGCAUAAUAUUCUUGGAAGGCAUCUUCCGAGAAGGAAAGGAAAUAUUCGGUAAAAGAUGGGCCCGCAUCUGAUUAGCUAGUUGGUGAGAUAACAGCCCACCAAGGCGACGAUCAGUAGCCGACCUGAGAGGGUGACCGGCCACAUUGGGACUGAGACACGGCCCAAACUCCUACGGGAGGCAGCAG